CGCUCGCUCUCUCUCUCUCUCUCUCUCUCUGUGUGUGUGUUUGUGCGUGCGCGUACAUGUGUGUUUUUAAUAAAUGCCUUGUAAUGUAGUAGGGCUUGGUUAGCACAGAUUUGGCUGCACACAGGUGCACACAACAUAAUCCCAGAACAUGGCUUUAAAGAAGGAUCUCUUGCGAGACAUCCAGAAGCGUUUUAACAGCCUGAAAGUUGAAGAGGAUAAAGAAGAGACAGUAAUUCUGAGAGAACGUGAGGACAGUAUUGACAUCCGAUGUACAGGCUUUCCUGAUUUCUCAGAGGACUUCCGUCAGAUUGUUAAAGCUGGCUGGCUAGAGAAAACUCCUCCAAAAGGGUAAGAAACAACUUAUAUACAAUUUAUAUAUCUUCUACGACUUUUCUGACAU
rnacentral:lncRNA from 1 species